rnacentral:rRNA from 1 species
UACGUAGGGUGCAAGCGUUAAUCGGAAUUACUGGGCGUAAAGCGUGCGCAGGCGGUUAUGUAAGACAGAUGUGAAAUGCCCGGGCUUAACCUGGGAACUGCAUUUGUGACUGCAUGGCUAGAGUUUGGCAGAGGGGGGUAGAAUUCCACGUGUAGCAGUGAAAGUGCGUAGAUAUGUGGAGGAACACCGAUGGCGAAGGCAGCCCCCUGGGUCAAGACUGACGCUCAUGCGACGAAAGCGU